UUAUUGAGUUUUGCUUGAUUCUAAGCUCGUUCCGAGUAGUAAAGGGUGUAAUUUGGUCCAAAUUGACAUAUGAAAAUCACUAUUUUUCAACCUUCAUCAACACCCCAAACUUAGAAUUUUGCUUGUCCUCAAGCAAAACAAAACAAAACAACAAACAAACAGUCAACAUCUUUACAUGCAAAUGCCAUCAAAAGGACUUUUCCAAGGCUUGUAAUGAGGUUGGGCUACCAAGAAAGAAUUGGUUUUUCCAGAAUGCAAAAUCCUUGAGUCAAGAGAGCUAUUAAAAUAUUCAACAAUUAAGCACAACUCUCUUCCUUACCAAUCUCUCUCAUUCCCAACUUUUCCCUUUUCUUUUUCUUUUGCAUCGAGCUCUUCUUAUGCUUUUCUUCUUUUCUUUUCUUUUUCUCAUGAAUUUUUCUUUUCACAACAUUUGAGCUCAAUGCUUUUCACUUGCUUUUUCAACUUUCCCCCAACAACCCCAAACUUUAACCUUUUUAUCUCAUACAAUUAAGCUCAUCCCACUCAAGGUAAAGAAUUUAAAAACAAGGGUUCACACACUGUUUAAGGCUAAGGUUCAAAAAGGGUAAAAUAUUUUUAAGCAUUUUGGGUGAAAAUUUGGCUAGAGAAGGGUUUUCAAAAAUGGCCUUGAUCAUAUGACAUUCACAUGCAAUUUAAUCGAUCAUCAAGAUUAAGGCAAUAUCAUCCAUGUUUUUCUGCGAACAAUACAUGCAACAAUAAAAACUCUGGAGCUCAAAAUCUCACACACAUGCUUCCUCACACACAAUUCAUUCAUACACCAUGCCUAGCAUCAUGACCACAAUCAUAAAUUCAUCACCCAUCUAUUUCCUGGAAAUCAACAUGCAUUACAACUAAAUUUUCUUUCACAUCAAAUAAUCAUCAAAUAGAUUCAUCAUGCACACCAG
rnacentral:lncRNA from 1 species